AUUCAUUGUGGAUGAAAGCCCUCUUAGAAGAGUAAGGACCCGUGAAAAUAUUACAACAUCUCCAGGAAACGCAUCAAUUGGGUCAAAGCGUUUAAAUUCUUUUUCAUUGAGCUUCAUCUUUUCCUGUAUCGCUUUCAUUUGUUUUGAUUUUUGCUCGGCCAAGUAUUUCAAGUUUUCCUUAAUAAGAUCAUUGUUACAUGACAAGACUUGUUAGGGAAUCCCACAUUGAAAAUAAACAUGGUGAAUGAGCACAUUAUGGUUGAGUUAUAACUUUGGAUUUUCUAGCCAUUUUGAUGUAUGAGCAGCUCAAUCACUUAUAUAUAUCCGCAUUAAAAAUGAAUUAAAGUGUAAUAUGCCUAGUAAACUCUCCCAAUAUAACAACACUUGCUGAAGUUAAAAAGAAAAUACUUGGGAAAGAAUAUAACAAGACUUGAAGUAAAAAAUCUAAGAAAGGGAUAAGUGUAUAUUUACAGAAGCUUCACUUGCUGGUGUUGAAGUGCGAAAAAAUAAAUUAGUUACUGCCAUAGCCUGAUCUGGAAUGUCCA
rnacentral:misc_RNA from 1 species